rnacentral:lncRNA from 1 species
UAUUCCAGUCACAUUAAAGUGAAGGGCUCUCCAUCAAGAAAGACAGUGAAAGCCCUAAAUCAAAGUCAAAGGGGAUGGGUUCUGCCCUUACAGCAAUGUUCCUAUCAGGAAAGCCUCACCUGGUUUCCAAAUUUUCCAGUCAGGCUGAACAUGGGAGCUUGUCAAUCAGUCCUAGACACCUCUGGGACAGUGACACCGAGAGUAGAAGCCACACCCCUAAAGCACUCCUUAACCCAGGUGGGAGCAUGGGUCUGAAGACAGAGACUGGAAAUGAUGCCAAGGGAGGCAUUCCCAUCUACUCCUUUGAUCUAAGAGGUCCUGAGACUAAAGAAUGUAAUUCUGCUGACCACAUAAAGUUCCAGGAUUCCCAGCACACAACACACUUGAUGAUACCCUCAAAUUCUGUGGCCCACAGCUCUUCCAUACCUUCCCAUAGCCAGACUAUUGCUCAGAGUCCACACCUUCUUGGAAGACAUCAGCCCAAGUGGUGCAUGUGCGUUCAAGCUGCAGAAGCUGUAUUGAAAGGUCAGGUUGAAACUGACGCCUCUUUCCAAAUCCAGAAAAUUCCUAGCAGCAAGAUAGAGAGAAGCAAAACCCUGAACACACAGAUAUCUGCCUUUGGAAUGAUCCAAAACUUUUCCCACAACAGCCCCCAGCUCCAGCCAACCAGGGCCAUAUGUGCCUUUCUAGACUUUCAGGAAUGUUAGGCUCUGAAAUGUAAGGGCAAAAUGUCUCCAACCCUGCACCCAGUCCAAGUCUUUCUGGAGUCAGUUGGCCAGACAAUGUGCCAAAAAUUCCAGAUGAUGGAAACUUCUCUCUUGGCAAAGAGGUCUUCGGUGUUCUUGGGGUACACUCCCCAAAUCCCCAAAGAUUGUUUUCAGAGAUGUUUUAAUAGCAGCUGGCAGAGAAACAGUGAGAUCUUCCCCUUGGGAUAGCACAGCUGACCUAAGGCCCAGCAUAGAGAUGACUAGGAUGAUCCCAGGCUCUCUGUGAAUAUUCCCAUUUUCCCUUGACCAGUUGAGAGACCUCUCAGUCCUACCAGGGAAGACUUUUCCAAAGCACUGUCUCACAGAUGGGCUCCAGUUGGGAAUUUGAGUUUGGGAUGGUUCUUCAUGUCAUGAAAUAAAAUGUCCAUCUAAAUAUCAAACGUGGGAUCUAACUCUCAGAUGAUACCUCAAAAGAUGAGAGGCUGGGUGUGCCCUGGGGAGAUGGUGAAUUACAGUCAGGUAGCUCAGCUGUGCUGCCUGCUCAGCAGAAGACAGCACCCCUGCCAUGUGGUGAGCACCCUCAGCAGGAAGAUGACAUGGGCUUCAGGUCAUUCUUUCCCAUAUCUUAGGGUCCAAACUGCAACAGGGUUUGGCAGAAUCUUAGUGAACCAAUCAGACCCAACAGAAGGACUAACAGCCAGCUCAGUCAUAGCCACCACUACCUUUCAACCCUUCCAGAAACCCCAUUAGCCUCAACACAGCUUCUGCAGUUUGACAUGGCCUGAGGCAGGGGCCCUUGAAUAAAUCUGGGGCAUGCAGCCAGGUGUGUUCUCUUGAUGUGAACUCUCUGAAAUCUCCCACUCUACACAGUCCAGUCCAGUCCACAAUAUGGGACUUGCCCUCGGGAAACCUCAAGUUUCCCCAGGUUCCAUCAUACCUGGUGGGCCUAAUGGCAAAUCCUGAUGCUGUUGCUUCCAUUAAACUGCACCAUCUUGAAGUGAGCAGGUUUGGGAAAGGAUAGGCUCUGGAGGCAAGUUGUACUAGACAGAAGACUUCUGCAGAUUAUUUGAUGAUUGAUAUUUUUUUGAAUAUGCAUUUUGAUAUGUUGAGUGUCCAACUUUGCAAUGUCCAGUUCUAUCAGAUUAUAUCAUGAUACCAUCAAGCUAGUGGUUAACUCAAAUGAAAACGCUCCUCCAACUCCCUCACCCAACUUAUCAUUAAUUAAAAACAUGCCAGGAAUUGGCAUUAAUAAUACAUAAAAUCUGCAAAUUUUAGAUCCAGACUCUAUGAUUCCAAUGACAACCCUCCAGCUCAGUGGGAAUAACCUAGCCACUUCUCACUCCAACUUGACACCCUUCCUGAAUGCCACGGAACCCAGCAUACUUCCCCAUAGUGCUCCAAUGGGGCCUGCUUUGAUGUCACACAAUCCUAUGAUAAGUCACGAGUCCUAGGAGCCUUGGCUGGUAUCACAAUCCUAUGAUGGGUCAUGAGUCCCAGGAGCCUUGGUUGGCAUCUCAAGGACAGAAGAAUUUCUCUAGGUGUUUGUAAGCCAGGAGGCCCAGAGUGUCUGACUCCUUUGCUAUGCUGGGGAAUAGCAUGACUUCAGGGUUUGUGGACCCAGAUCUGCAGCAAUCCAUAUGUGAGUUUGAUCUGUCUUCCGUGAUUCCAUCACAGAUGUCCAACCAGACAGUGAACUAUUUCCCUCAAGGGAAAAUCUCAGGCCAUAAACAAUGCCAGGGUUUUUGCAGAUGGAGGAGGUGACAGGCAGAUAAGUUCCACGGUGGCACUGGCAUUGCUUGGUCUAGGGUCAGCACAAGCUCUGAGCAUCCUUUGGGUACAAGUGUAUCCUUUCCA